rnacentral:rRNA from 1 species
AUUGAACGCUGGCGGCAGGCUUAACACAUGCAAGUCGAGCGGGGUGAGGUGCUUCGGUACUGAUCCUAGUGGCGGACGGGUGAGUAAUGCUUAGGAAUCAGCCAUUUAGUGGGGGACCACAUUCCGAAAGGAAUGCUAAUACCGCAUACGUCCUACGGGACAAAGCAGGGGCUCUUAGAACCUCGCGCUAAAUGAUGCGACUAAUUCGGAUUAGCUAGUUGGUGGGGUAAGGGCCUACAAAGGCGACGAUCUGUACCGGGUCUGAGAGGAUGAUCCGCCACACUGGGACUGAGACACGGCCCAGACUCCUACGGGAGGCAGCAGUGGGGAAUAUUGGACAAUGGGCGGAAGCCUGAUCCAGCCAUGCCGCGUGUGUGAAGAAGGCCUUUUGGUUGUAAAGCACUUUAAGCGAGGAGGAGGCUACCUGGAUUAAUACUCUGGGAUAGUGGACGUUACUCGCAGAAUAAGCACCGGCUAACUCUGUGCCAGCCGCCGCAGUAAAAC